rnacentral:rRNA from 1 species
CGAAGCGUGCGAUUGGAUUGCACGUCUAAGCAGUAAGGCUGAGUAUUAGGCAAAUCCGGUACUCGUUAAGGCUGAGCUGUGAUGGGGAGAAGACAUUGUGUCUUCGAGUCGUUGAUUUCACACUGCCGAGAAAAGCCUCUAGAUAGAAAAUAGGUGCCCGUACCGCAAACCGACACAGGUAGUCAAGAUGAGAAUUCUAAGGUGAGCGAGCGAACUCUCGUUAAGGAACUCGGCAAAAUGACCCCGUAACUUCGGGAGAAGGGGUGCUCUUUAGGGUUAACGCCCAGAAGAGCCGCAGUGAAUAGGCCCAAGCGACUGUUUAUCAAAAACACAGGUCUCUGCUAAACCGUAAGGUGAUGUAUAGGGGCUGACGCCUGCCCGGUGCUGGAAGGUUAAGAGGAGUGGUUAGCUUCUGCGAAGCUACGAAUCGAAGCCCCAGUAAACGGCGGCCGUAACUAUAACGGUCCUAAGGUAGCGAAAUUCCUUGUCGGGUAAGUUCCGACCCGCACGAAAGGCGUAACGAUUUGGGCACUGUCUCAACGAGAGACUCGGUGAAAUCAUAGUACCUGUGAAGAUGCAGGUUACCCGCGACAGGACGGAAAGACCCCGUGGAGCUUUACUGUAGCCUGAUAUUGAAAUUCGGCACAGCUUGUACAGGAUAGGU